AGAGUUUGAUCCUGGCUCAGGAUAAACGCUGGCGGCGUGCUUUAUGCAUGCAAGUCGAACGGUUUCGAUUUAUCGGAAUAGUGGCGAACGGGUGAGUAACACGUAAGUAACCUGCCCCCGAGUGGAGAAUAACUUCGGGAAACUGAGGCUAAUACUGCAUGUGAUGGCAGAGGUAAUGCUUUGUCAUUAAAGCCGUAAGGCGCUUGGGGAGGGGCUUGCGUUCGAUUAGCUAGUUGGUAAGGUAACGGCCUACCAAGGCGACGAUCGAUAGCUGGUCUGAGAGGAUGAUCAGCCACACUGGGACUGAGACACGGCCCAGACUCCUACGGGAGGCAGCAGCAAGGAAUUUUGUGCAAUGGGCGAAAGCCUGACACAGCAACGCCGCGUGAGGGAUGAAGGCCUUCGGGUUGUAAACCUCUUUUAUCAGGGAAGAAUAAUGACGGUACCUGAGGAAUAAGCUUCGGCUAACUACGUGCCAGCAGCCGCGGUAAUACGUAGGAAGCGAGCGUUAUCCGAAUUUACUGGGCGUAAAGUGGGCGUAGGCGGCCUUUCAAGUUGGAUGUGAAAUCUCCUGGCUUGACUGGGAGGGGUCAUCCAAAACUGCUAGGCUGGAGGACAGCAGGGGAAAGUGGAAUUCCCGGUGUAGUGGUGAAAUGCGUAGAUAUCGGGAGGAACACCAGUGGCGAAGGCGGCUUUCCAGGCUGUUUCUGACGCUGAGGCCCUAAAGUGUGGGGAGCGAACAGGAUUAGAUACCCUGGUAGUCCACACCUUAAACUAUGGAUACUUGGUAUAGGGAGUUUCGACCCUCUCUGUGCCGAAGCUAACGCUUUAAGUAUCCCGCCUGGGAACUACGGCCGCAAGGCUAAAACUCAAAUGAAUUGACGG
rnacentral:rRNA from 1 species